UCCUACGGGAGGCAGCAGUAGGGAAUCUUCCACAAUGGACGCAAGUCUGAUGGAGCAACGCCGCGUGAGUGAAGAAGGGUUUCGGCUCGUAAAGCUCUGUUGUUAAAGAAGAACGUGGGUAAGAGUAACUGUUUACCCAGUGACGGUAUUUAACCAGAAAGCCACGGCUAACUACGUGCCAGCAGCCGCGGUAAU
rnacentral:rRNA from 1 species